rnacentral:misc_RNA from 1 species
GAUGAAGAACGCAGUGAAAUGCGAUACGUAAUGUGAAUUGCAGAAUUCAGUGAAUCAUCGAAUCUUUGAACACAUAUUGCGCUCUUUGGUAUUCCGAAGAGCAUGCUUGUUUGAGUAUCAGUAAACACCUCAACCUCUUCUUGAUUUUUCAAAAGGAGGGUGGACUUGAGCUAUCCCAACAACCUUUACCGGUCGGCGGGCGGCUUGAAAUGCAGGUGCAGCUGGACUUUUAUCUGAGCUAAAAGCAUAUCUAUUUAGUCCUCGUCAAACAGGAUUAUUACUUUUGCUGCAGCUAACAUAAAGGAUAAUUGUCCUCUUUGCUGACUGAUGCAGGAUUUUACGACACUUUAUGUGUUGUUCAACUCGAUCUCAAAUCAAGUAAGACUACCCGCUGAACUUAAGCAUAUCAAUAAGCGGAGGA